CUUCUUUGGUCAUUUAGAGGAAGUAAAAGUCGUAACAAGGUUUCCGUAGGUGAACCUGCGGAAGGAUCAUUACUGAAGAAAUGUGGUAGUAGGUUGAGCUGACUCCCUUAGGGGAGUAUGUGCUCGCUCUAUCGCUUUUUUCUACUCUCCACUGUGCACCUAUUGUAGGCUAUGAUAACUCUCAGGUCCCCCUGCUCUCUUUUCCCGCAAGGAAAAUAGGGGGGGUAUUUGGAUAGAAGGCUAUGCAUUCAUUUUGCUUGCUUUCGAUGUUGUAGCCUAUGCCUAUACACACUCUUGAUAGUCAUAUUGAAUGGUGUAUCAUUGGUCUUUUGACCGAUAAAUCAUAUACAACUUUCAGCAACGGAUCUCUUGGCUCUCGCAUCGAUGAAGAACGCAGCGAAAUGCGAUAAGUAAUGUGAAUUGCAGAAUUCAGUGAAUCAUCGAAUCUUUGAACGCACCUUGCACUCCUUGGUAUUCCGAGGAGUAUGCCUGUUUGAGUGUCAUUAAAUUCUCAAAACCUAACUGUUUCUUUUGAAUGGCUAGGCUUUUGGAUGUGAGGGUUGUUUUGCUGGCUUCAAUCGAGUCGGCUCCCUUUAAAUGCAUUAGUGGGUUGCUUCAUUCACUAUGAGUGUGAUAGUAUAUCUAUGCUCGUUACAGUGAACUGAUUAAAUCGAUCUGCUUCUAACCGUCUUGCUUCAAGACAAAUGACUAUUUGACCGACCUCAAAUCAGGUAGGACUACCCGCUGAACUUAAGCAUAUCAAUAAGCGGAGGAAAAGAAACUAACAAGGAUUCCCCUAGUAACUGCGAGUGAAGCGGGAAGAGCUCAAAUUUGAAAUCUGGCAGUCCUAUGGCUGUCCGAGUU
rnacentral:sRNA from 1 species